rnacentral:ncRNA from 23 species
AAUUGGUAAAGGUAGUUGAACUGUAUUGUGCACCUUGCAUAGAGCUAAAGCACUAAAAAAGUAA